CAGCCACCACCAACCCACGAGCCAUCGCCAAACCAAUAGCCCCUCAGCUACCAUCCAACACCGACCCUCAGCCCCUUAGCUACCAGCCACCACUGAACCACACUGUUGAAGAAUAGCCACAACAAUGGUGGACACCACCGUCGAAAAUUAGCCACGGCAAAACGACAAUAACUUUGAUCAAAAUAACAAUGGAAAUUUUGAGAAAAACGACAGUAAUUUUGGCUAGAUUUGGUCAAAAUUUAGACCAUUUUCUGUGCGUAGGUGUAUAUGUGUGUGAAUUAGAGAACCAGAGCUACUCGAUCAAUGGUUCCGGCGGUGGCUCUAGAGGAACGAACGCUCAAAUCAAUCGUCCAGCUAUCAGACAACCAGCUCGACCUUUUUGCCGUCUCCUCUAGGUUUCUCUUUAUGGACGACCAAGUCAUCCUAGUCGGGCCAUCAACAAAGGGAGCACCAAAAUCAGCUCCACAGCAAUGCCUGAGCUUGAUCUUUGCUCUUCUUCAAAAAUUGGUUGAUGUUGUUGGUUUGGCGGUGUGGGUCGGUGGUGGCUAAUGGCUAAAAGGAGUUGUGGUGUUGGGUGGUGGCCGUGUGAUUUUCUGGUUUUGAUUGGGGAUGGUAUGGGGAU
rnacentral:lncRNA from 1 species